GUAUCGGGGACAUCUAAUAAAAUUGAAAUGAUACAAAAAAGAUUAGCAUGGCCCCUGCGCAAGGAUGAUGCGCAUAAAUCGAGAAAUGGCCCAAAUUUUU